ensembl:lncRNA
AUUGGCGGCGGGCUGCAGUUCCGGCGCUGACCAGCGGGGGUCACAGUUCGUCCCGAGGCGCGUUUAAAGGCAAAUGUUUGACCUCCUCAGGGACCUCCUCGCCUUACUGUGACCUUUUAUAGAAACCCAGAGAAUCCAACAAACUGCUGAUCUCAUCUGCCUUCAUCUUCUUCACAGGAACAACCUGAGAAUACAGAAAGUCCGAACAGCUUUGGAACAACAUGAGGAAAGAGCCCAAUGUGCUGCACCCUCAAGUCUCUAUGAUGUUCUGAUCUCUAGAUAGCACAUGAGUCAACCCUUC